CCUACGGGAGGCAGCAGUGGGUAAUCUUGGACAAUGGGCGCAAGCCUGAUCCAGCAAUGCCGCGUGUGUGAAGAAGGCCUGCGGGUUGUAAAGCACUUUUGUUCGGGAAGAAAACGGAUCGGUUAAUACCCGGUUCGGAUGACGGUACCGAAAGAAUAAGCACCGGCUAACUUCGUGCCAGCAGCCGCGGUAAUA
rnacentral:rRNA from 1 species